GUGAUGGCAGCGGGUUUUUACCGUUUCUCCGCUUUGAGCCAGCCGAAGCAGAACGGUGUCAGGCAGGCUACAUCAC
rnacentral:ncRNA from 1 species